rnacentral:rRNA from 1 species
CCUACGGGAGGCAGCAGUGGGGAAUAUUGCACAAUGGGGGAAACCCUGAUGCAGCGAAGCAGCGUGAGUGAAGAAGUAUUUCGGUAUGUAAAGCUCUAUCAGCAGGGAAGUAAAUGACGGUACCUGAUUAAGAAGCCCCGGCUAACUACGUUCCAGCAGCCGCGGUAAUACGUAGGGUGCAAGCGUUAUCCGGAUUUACUGGGCGUAAAGGGAGCGUAGACGGUGAUGCAAGUAAGACGUGAAAGGCCGGGGCUCAACCCCGGGACUGCUUUUGAAACUGGGUGACUGGAGUGCAGGGGAGGUAAGCGGAAUUCCUGGUGUAGCGGUGAAAUGCGUAGAUAUCAGGAGGAACCCCAGUGGCGAAGGCGGCUUACUGGACUGUAACUGACGUUGAGGCUCGAAAGCGUGGGGAGCAAACAGGAUUAGAUACCCGUGUAGUC